GUGGGGAAUUUUGGACAAUGGGCGCAAGCCUGAUCCAGCAAUGCCGCGUGCAGGAAGAAGGCCUUCGGGUUGUAAACUGCUUUUGUCAGGGAAGAAAUCUUCUGGGCUAAUACCCCGGGAGGAUGACGGUACCUGAAGAAUAAGCACCGGCUAACUACGUGCCAGCAGCCGCGGUAAUACGUAGGGUGCGAGCGUUAAUCGGAAUUACUGGGCGUAAAGCGUGCGCAGGCGGCUUUGCAAGACAGAUGUGAAAUCCCCGGGCGCAACCUGGGAACUGCAUUUGUGACUGCAAGGCUAGAGUACGGCAGAGGGGGAUGGAAUUCCGCGUGUAGCAGUGAAAUGCGUAGAUAUGCGGAGGAACACCGAUGGCGAAGGCAAUCCCCUGGGCCUGCACUGACGCUCAUGCACGAAAGCGUGGGGAGCAAACAGGAUUAGAAACCCGUGUAGUCC
rnacentral:rRNA from 1 species